rnacentral:rRNA from 1 species
UUGUACAGGCAUACCUCGCUGAAGGCACUCAAUCUUAUCUGAUCUCAGAAGCUGAUUAAUCAAGGUAGGUCCUGGUUAAAUGCUUGGGUGGGAGAUAUGCUGAAAAGA